GGUCAAGAAGAGAAGCGCAAACGGUGGAUGCCUUGGCAGUAAGAGGCGAUGAAGGACGUGGAAUCCUGCGAAAAGCUACGGGGAGCUGGAAACAAGCUGUGAUCCGUAGAUGUCCGAAUGGGGGAACCCGGCUGUGCUUGCACGGUCACUCAUAACUGAAUACAUAGGUUAUGAGAGCGAACUCGGGGAACUGAAACAUCUAAGUACCCGAAGGAAAAGAAAUCAAUUGAGAUUCUCUAAGUAGCGGCGAGCGAACGGGGAAGAGCCUGGUGUGAUUUAUCAUUGAAUGGAGUAGAACAACCUGGGAAGGUUGACCAUAGGGGGUGAAAGUCCCGUAUACGUAGAUUUGAUGAGGAACUAAGCACGCGAACAAGUAGGGCGGGACACGUGAAAUCCUGUUUGAAGAUGGGUGGACCAUCAUCCAAGGCUAAAUACUACUUACUGACCGAUAGUGAACCAGUACCGUGAGGGAAAGGCGAAAAGAACCCCGGAGAGGGGAGUGAAAUAGAACCUGAAACCGUUUGCGUACAAGCAGUGGGAGCAUGUCUUCGGACGUGUGACUGCG
rnacentral:rRNA from 1 species